AAAAAUAUCGAUUUUGAGUCAAGUUAUGGCGAUUUGAAGUUAGUGGCCUAGAA
rnacentral:sRNA from 1 species